GUAGGAUAUAAUGUAUGAUAUUUUUGUCUUUCAGCAACUCCUGCAUUCUACAAGCUGGAGAAGGCGCUGACCAAGAAAACAGUCCUGACUGAGGGAUAUAGCAAAGCUCAGUCCCCACCACCAGACGUCCUCUUUGGAGGCAUUCCACGCCGUGAUCCUGCGGUUCGCUCCUAAAAAUGUGGUCUAUCCAUUUCUAGGAAUGCUGUGCAGACUCUACCUGGCUGCACUGCAUUACAAUGAGCAUUUUGAUUGAGGACAAGCCACUACGUCAUCAGGGGAUCUUAUGUUCAGACUGACCUUUCCUAUGGCCCGGAAGGGAGAGUGCAGAGCCAAACCAGUGAAGACUGAGGCGACAUUCCAGUAUGUGAAUGAUUUGAUGGACAUGAUCAUGGAGAAGGUCUUUGUCGACCCAGCAUCGCACAGAGCAGAGAUUCUGAAGAUAAACAUCCCGCCGGAACUGUCUUCAGAAUAUGAGCAU